CACGAACGCUGGCGGCAGGCUUAACACAUGCAAGUCGAGCGCCCCGCAAGGGGAGCGGCAGACGGGUGAGUAACGCGUGGGAAUCUACCCAUCUCUACGGAAUAACGCAUGGAAACGUGUGCUAAUACCGUAUACGUUCUUAGGGAGAAAGACUUAUCGGAGAUGGAUGAGCCGGCGUUGGAUUAGCUAGUUGGUGGGGUAAAGGCCUACCAAGGCGACGAGCAAUAGCUGGUCUGAGAGGAUGAUCAGCCACACUGGGACUGAGACACGGCCCAGACUCCUACGGGAGGCAGCAGUGGGGAAUAUUGGACAAUGGGCGCAAGCCUGAUCCAGCCAUGCCGCGUGAGUGAUGAAGGCCCUAGGGUUGUAAAGCUCUUUCACCGGUGAAGAUAAUGACGGUAACCGGAGAAGAAGCCCCGGCUAACUUCGUGCCAGCCGCCGCCGUAACAC
rnacentral:rRNA from 1 species